CUUCUCUUUUUUCUUUCCAUUCCAUUGACUACACACAGUAUAGAUAAGAUCGUAAAAAGUGACAGGUAUAUCCUGUUUUUAGGUUAGAUAGAGCGAGGAGGAAAAAGGAGUCGGUGACAAGAUGGCAGGUGGUGUCAUAGCGCUCUAGCUGUUGUAGAACUACAACUCCCAGCAUGUCCUGACAGACUUAUGUCUUAUAGACCAUUUAGCAUGCAGAAUUCUGCUGCGGUGGUUCCACAGUGUGCACAGAGCUGCAGAAACACAUCGAAAACAAUGGGAGUCUGCUGCAAGUGGAAUUGUCGACGGAAUGACUGCAGUGUGAAUGAGCCCUUAGGCUACUAUAUUUCCGGGACCCUCCUUACCAUUUCCCCACUCAUAGUGCCCCAAACAGUAAUAAUUCCCCCCCUUGGUGCCUUGGACAGUAAGAAUUGGUAAGUAGUUCCCCCAUUAGGUACAUAGGCUCCCCAUUAGGCAGGUUUCCUUCCACGAAUAGGUAGUGGCGUCUCACCAGAAUGAAAAGAUAAAGACAUUUUCUUAUCAUUCCUAUGCCCAACGUCAGGCCCUUCCUCUACAAGGAGCCGAUGGGUCGGUAAAAGCUCCCAAGGAUGCGCUUACAGUUCAAGGCGGUGGCCGCUUGUCCAGGUUCUGGGGCUAUUGCCCUAGGUUCCCCUCUGUUCACUAUCGGCAGCAGUUGCACCUCACAGUCCAGUUAGUAAGUGGUGCCCUAGGUGGGUUCCUACUUAUCAUUCCAGUCCUGAGGACUCCCGUACAGAUGAAAGGGACAAGGGUGGGGACACAUGUUCCUGAAAUCAAUCCAUGAGAAUUUCCAGCCAUAUUGGGUGGAUUUAUUAGUUAAUAAAUUGUGUUGGUCUAAAAUCAUGAAGCCAUCCUCUUUUUUUGGGGAUUUUCUAGUGAUUUUGAUGUGGAAGUUGGGUGGUGCACAAUCCAGCAAAAAUGAGUCAGGAAAACAAUAGUAAAUCAGGGCCUAUGUUUAGUUAAAGGGGUACUCCGGCGCUUAGCUAUCUUAUCCCCUAUCCAGCUGUCACGCCCCCUCCCAUAGGCUUGCAUUGAGGGGCGGAGCGUGACGUCACACGGGGGCGGAGGCGUGACGUCACACGCGGCAGCCUCGUGGUCGCCGGUAAUCAGACCCAGAGCGAACAUGCUCUGGGGACUGAUUUUAACUGGGGUGCUGCGUGCAAGAUCACGGGGGUCCCCAGCGGCGGGACCCCCACGAUCAGGCAUCUUAUCCCCUAUCCUUUAAUUAGGGGAUAAGAUGUCUAAGCGCCGGAGUACCCCUUUAAGCCUUAGGGUAUGUUCACACACCGGAAUAUUCCACACAGAUAUUCUGCUGCAGCAGAGUCCCAUUGAUUUCAGCAUCUGUAUAAAGAAUAGAUGUAUCUAUUCUUUCUGCAGAUUUUGCACUUAAACGCAUUGCCAACUAUGACACAGCGCAUUUCCGAGAGGUCUUAGCCAUGCUGAAAACUCGCAGCAACCAGAUAACCACUGGAAUAACACCUAUUUCUAAAGACAGCAAAAUAUGGGGCUGCCAUCUUUCCUGAGCUGUUUUUAACAGCAUUUAGAGAAAUGCCUUGCAUCAGGACUUAUGGACAUAGGCAACAAUAAACAGGACCUGCCUAAUCACAUGCAUUGGAAAUCUUACUGAACAGUCUCUGUGACCUGACAGAUGUCAUUCUAGAGAGUGUGAGGCAGUGAAUGGUGGUGGAUCCAGUGUUAUCUCUCUACUGUUGUUACCUGUUACUGUACUCCUGUCUUUAAUGAUAAGGAAGAGACUGCUGGGAAAUGAACUGUACAGAACAGGAAGUGGCAGCUUAGUUUUAGGCCUAGUUGCUAGAAUGGAUACUAUGGAGACUGCAAGACCGUACGAGUAUUUUACAAUAUAGAUAGUAAAAUGAAAAAAUCACCAAGAUUCUUUAAAAAUAUUGUUAACAUAAAAUGUUAUAGAAAAAAGUAACAAAAAAAUUGGGAACGGUACUGACGACAACAGGCAGGCAUUCUAUACACUGGAGGCAGGCGUUUCUCCUACUCGCCCAAGCUGUAACCACUAUCUAUUAAGUAUUAACUAUUAAGCCUCUGGUCUCCACAGUCUCUUUCCUUGGUCCCUCCAAUUCUACCAUUCAGUCCAUAGAACUGUCUAGUGACCCGCUUGGUUUGGGCUGAUGGAAAACUGUUCUAUAGUAUUAAUAUUUAAUACUUUUAUAUUCAGCAAAACUGUACUGAGAUUUACAUCAUUCCCGUCGGUCCCAGUCCCCAUUGGGGCUAACAAUCUGAACUUGUAUGUUGUCAGAGUGUGGGAGAAAACCCAAACACAGGGAGAACCUAAGAACUCCAUGUAGAUGCUGCAAGGCAAGAAUGCUAUCCCGAGCUCCUGUGAGGAUAUCCCAUGAUAUGCAGUUGACUCAUUGUAUUUUCUAUGGAAAGAUCAUUCUCAUAAUAGCAAAAUAUCUCUGCAUGUCUAAUACAAUGUGAUGUAUGAUGUGAUACAGAAUAUGUAUAGGAUUGCAUGAUUGUUAGAAAAUCUAUGGCCACUAUAAAUAGCUGCCAUUCUAUUGGUAAACUGGAUGAGCAGUCAUAAAUGUAAGGACAGGUGCUCAGAUAUAGACAAUCGUGAGGAAUCUGAUGAUUUAUCAAGAUAAUACUGAGUAAUACUAGAUUGUAGGAUUUGUGCAUAAGGCUGUGACCCAACAUGGCAGACAGAAAAUACAGGAUUAUGUCUAAUGUAGCAGGAAAUGAUGAAACGCUGUACCCAAGAUUAGGGAAGCCGAAUGCUACAGAAUGAGAAGUGAAUGCAGCACCAUAGUAUAGUAUCACAGAGUGCUGGAGAAUAGUGAUAGCCAUGGAUCUGAUGGAAGAGACAGGAGAAUGAGAGGGGGUGGGGAAGGAAAACCAAUGGCCGGUGAGGGGGUUGUCUGAAGCCUAGAGCUGCUUGUAGGAUACACAGCCACUGUUUUAUCAAUGGCUUUUCCUGCAGCAUUAGACAGUAAGGGAUCCUCUGACAAUUGCCGUAAUGUGAUCCAGUCUGCAAAGCUAUAGUCUCAGCUAAAAAUGGCACAGAGCUUUACAUAGAGUCCCUUACUACAAAGGCACCUCUGCCCUUCCUCUAAGGAUGGAUUGUACUGCGACAGAGGCUUCAUUAAACAUAAUUUUAUUAUUCCUCUGGCCGAUGAGGAAAGUAGGCUCUAUACAUGGAAUAAUGCAUGGAAUAUAGGUUAUUAUUGUUACUACAUCUCCACCAUCAAUUGUUCUUCUCUUCCAUGGGAUAGUAUUUGUGGAUGGAUGUAGAUCUCGUCCAGCCGUGACAUCUGAAAAUAAAUGCAGCAAUUUAUUUUCUAAAGCGUUGCUUAAUAAUUUAUUGACUGCUAAAUGCAUAACAUGUAAAAAUGGUAUAGAGGCCUGAGGCAUCGCACUGCUGCUCUCUCCUCCUGUACCUCACGUGGAGAUGGGACUAAUGUGUAGUCUGAAUAAAUAAGUCUAUACUGUAAUAUGUGACACUGUCAUUUCUGUGAUGACCAUCAAGUAGAACACAGGAGAUUUUCCUUAGGAUUUACUGUAUAUCCUAGGUUUCCAGACUUGCUGGGAGUUGUAGUUUCGCAACAGUUGGAUGUCCACAGUUUGAUGGCAGAGCCAUCUUACCUGAGCUCUAUUUAACAGCAGUUAGUGAUAUGCUCUAUAAUAAGCCCCGUGGACUUAGGCAACAAUGGACAGAAGCUGUACCAUUCACAUGAAUUGAAAACGUUACCAGGUAUUCUCUGUGACCUUUUCAGAGGCUAUUCUACAGGGAGGAGAAAGAUGAA